rnacentral:rRNA from 1 species
AAUCAACGCUGGCGGCGUGCCUCAGACAUGCAAGUCGAACGAUUAAAGCUCCCUUCGGGGAGUGCAUAAAGUGGCGCACGGGUGAGUAACACGUAAGUAAUCUACCCUCGGGUGGGGAAUAACAUCGGGAAACCGAUGCUAAUACCGCAUAGUGCAGCGGCACCGCAAGGUGACAGUUGUUAAAGAUUUAUUGCCUGGGGAGGAGCUUGCGGCAGAUUAGCUUGUUGGUAAGGAACGGCUUACCAAGGCUACGAUCUGUAUCCGGUCUAAGAGGACGGUCGGACACACUGACACUGAAUAACGGGUCAGACUCCUACGGGAGGCAGCAGUCGGGAAUUUUGGGCAAUGGGGGAAACCCUGACCCAGCAACGCCGCGUGAAGGAUGAAGUAUUUCGGUAUGUAAAC